GAUGAACGCUGGCGGCGUGCCUAAUACAUGCAAGUCGAGCGAACAGACGAGGAGCUUGCUCCUCUGACGUUAGCGGCGGACGGGUGAGUAACACGUGGAUAACCUACCUAUAAGACUGGGAUAACUUCGGGAAACCGGAGCUAAUACCGGAUAAUAUGUUGAACCGCAUGGUUCAAUAGUGAAAGACGGUUUUGCUGUCACUUAUAGAUGGAUCCGCGCCGCAUUAGCUAGUUGGUAAGGUAACGGCUUACCAAGGCAACGAUGCGUAGCCGACCGGAGAGAGUGAUCGGCCACACUGGAACUGAGACGCGGUCCAGACUCCUACGGGAGGCAGCAGUAGGGAAUCUUCCGCAAUGGGCGAAAGCUUGACGGAGCAACGCCGCGUGAGUGAUGAAGGUCUUCGGAUCGUAAAACUCUGUUAUUAGGGAAGAACAAAUGUGUAAGUAACUAUGCACGUCUUGACGGUACCUAAUCAGAAAGCCACGGCUAACUACGUG
rnacentral:rRNA from 1 species